rnacentral:rRNA from 1 species
AAUCCAGUUGAUCCUGCUGGGGGCUGCUGCUAUCUGGUUUGCAAUUAGACAUGCAAGUCUUUUUUGUUUCGCAAGAAAUGAAGGGCGAACUGCUCAGUAACACGUAGCUAACCUGCCCUAACAUUGGGGAUAACGUCGGGAAACUGACCCUAAUAUCCAAUAGGAGACGGUGACUGGAAUGUCCUGUCUCUCAAGUUAGGAUGGGGCUGCGGCUGAUUAGCUUGUUGGCGGGGUAAUAGCCCACCAAGGCGUCGAUCAGUAAGGGCUCUUAGCGGAGAAGCCCUGAGAGGGAAUCUGAGACACUAUUCCCAGCCCUACGGGGUGCAGCAGUCGGGAAACUUCUGCAAUACACGAAAGUGUGACAGAGCAAGCCAGAGUGCGUUUCUAUAAUUGAAACGCUUUUAUGCGAUGUAAAAAGUCGCAUGAAUAAGGACUGGGCAAGACUGGUGCCAGCCGCCGCGGUAAUCCCAGCGGUCCAAGUAGCAGCCGCGUUUAUUGGGUCUAAAACAUCCGUAGCUUGCUUCGUAAGUCUCAUGUGAAAUCCGGCCUCUUAAGGGUCGGGCGUGCAUGAGAUACUGCGUUGCUAGAGACCGGGAGACGUGAAGAGUACAGUUUGGGUAGCGGUAAAAUGCGUUGAUCCUUACUAGACUAACGAUAGCGAAGGCACUUCACGAGAACGGGUCUGACAGUGAGGGAUGAAGGCUAGGGGCGCAAAGUGGAUUAGAUACCCAUGUAGUCCUAGCAGUAAACACUGCACACUAAACAUCGGUACCUCCUCGAGAGGUAUCGGUGCUGUAGAGAAGUCGGAGAGUGUGCUACCUGGGAAGUAUAGUCGCAAGACCGAAACUUAAAGGAAUAGGCGGCGGGAUACUACAACCAGUGACGCGUGCGGUUCAAUUAGUUCAAUUAGAUUCUACACCGUGAACCUCACCAGGAUCGACAGCAGAAUGAAGGUCAGUCUGAAGGGCUUACCUGACACGCUGAGAGGAGAUGCAUGGCCAACGUCAGCCUGUGUCGUGAGAUGAUCUGUUAAAUCAGUUAACAGGCGAGACCCGCGUGCAUAUUUGCACGAACAAUAUGCAGACCGCCCUCGUAAGGGGGAGGAAGGUGCGGGCUACGUUAGGUGAGUACAUCCCAAAUACCCUGGGCUACACGCGCGCGGCAAUGCUGCAUUCAAAGGGCCGCAACACCGAAAGGUGAAGCUAAUCUCAUAAACUGCAGCUUAGUUCAGAUUGUGGCUUGCAACUCAGCCACAUGACGCUGGAAUUGGUAGUAAUUGGUUUUUAUCAGAGACCAGUGAAUAAGUCAAUGUCCCGUGCUCUCACCGAAAUAAAUGUGCUUGGCAGCUUUAUUAUCUAGGCAGUUAAAAUCUGUCCCUCUUCUU